rnacentral:lncRNA from 1 species
ACGGCUGUCACCCAUGAAUUUUGCUAAAACCUUUCGGGAAAUUGUUUAUAUUUUCAGCUGAACAACCUCUUGGGGUAAUGAGUUUCCAUAACAACUAAUGGGUGGCCAGCGUGCUUCCGCCCUGGGCUGGGGACCGCGUGCUCUUUGAUUCGCAUCAGCAGCGGCUGAUGGCCCCUCAAGUGGUUCCUGUUUGCUGUCUCCCAGCAUUGCGGCAGGUAGGCGGGGUGCAGCACAGGGCACAGGCCCCUGGGCCUCAGUGCCUCCGACGUGCCAGUUCCGGCUGUGGCGGCGGGGGGGUUGCGGUGUGCCUGGGCCUUUGGCUUUGCCCCGACCACCCUCUAACAGGGCUCUGCCCGCUCUUGGAGGUGAAGGGUACACUUGUGCCUGGAAGCUGAUGGAAAGGGCUUCUGAAUGGACUGCAAGCAACUGGCUCAGUGGUCACCUCUGAAGUCAAAUAAAGGGAAAAGUUUGGAGCACAAGAAAAUGAGUACAUAGAUCAAAGUGUCCAUGUCCCAUGUCCAUGUCUGGCAUUUUCUCUGCCUUAUGUCCCUGAUGGUGGGGGAAGAGAAGGGAACAGAUUUACAGAGACCCGGACAGCUCACCUCCAAUAGGAGCCAUAUAUCCCAGUGGACUGGACGCACCCAACACGGAGGCAGCAGCCGAGACUUACACCGCAAGGCCUUGGCUGGCUCUAUUGGGCCAGGACCCCAUACUGGGAGUGCGGGGUAGGGGCAGGUUGAAUUCAGUUUCCAGAGUCAGGCCCCUGUCAGAGGGGGGAAGUGAUUGUGAAAUAUUUUAAAUGCACAGAGAUGAGCUGAUGGACAGGUCUUAAUGAAGGAUUAAAUGGACACGUUUAAGAGCCUGGAAAGCACCAGGCAGAGUUCCAUGGCCCCAGAAUAACUGCAUUGUCUCUGACCUUUUCUGUCUUGGGAACAUGCACAGCUUUAGCUGAAAGAACUGAGCUCAUGGCACCAGUUUCAACCCCUCGCUUCCGGGGCCUCAGUUCUGGACAAGGCCAGGUUGUCCCAUUGCCCCAGAGGGCCCUUUGGCUGAACUCAGAAGCCUCAUGGCACCAGCUACCUUCUUUUCAAAUCCAAAGCUGCCUGGAGGUGCCCCCAGCGUGGACAAGGGCAGCCUGAGGACUCCACUAAUAGCUAUGGGAGGAUCACUCACUUUAGGAUCAGCCUGCCAGGACCUCUGCUCCCUCAUGUGUAAAAUGAGCAGCUCCAGAGAGCUGAACCCAGACUCACAAAGUGUCACUGCUGAGCGGGCUCCACAGCACUGCCUCUCAUGCAUUCAUGCACUCACGUGACCUACUCCGUGCCAGGCCAGGGGCUCGGUGUGGAGAUGCAGGGCUGGAAGAGCACAUCCUGGUGCAGCAGGCAGUUCGUAAGCAGGAAUUCAAAUCUCCUCUGUGCCUUUGCAAAGCAACAUCCAUCUUGAACAUAAAUGAGGUUCUGGCUUGAUUUCUGGGCUUGGGCAUCAGACAUCUCCCUUUUGCGGACACCUACAGCUCUGUUCUUGAAUUUUGUGAUUGCGGAUAAGCACCCGCUCCUUCUUUUUAAGUCCUUUGGCAGAUAGUCAUUCAUGCUUACAGGAUGACCCAGGCAAAGCUAAACACAGAUCUGGGCUCCAAUCCCACCAUGGCUGUGUGACCUAGUGGAAGUUCCUUAACCUCUCUGAGCCUCAGCUUUCUUUUCCACAGAUUGCUGAUUAAAACACUUACUUUAGUGUUAACACAAGGGAAAGCUGGGCGUGGAGGUCUAUGAGAAUUCUCUAUACUAUUUUUGCAACUCUUUUGUGAAUAUGAAAUAAUCUAAACUAGAAGAUUUAAAAAAAAAAACAAACCCAAACACGUGCUUCCUAGGCUUUCUGAGGACUGGAGAUGGCAAAUGUGCGGUGCCCGGCAUGGAAUAGGUGUUCAUCAGCUUUGACACAGUGGAGGGACACGGCCCAACCAUCACGCCAGCCUGUACUCUUUCUCUUUCUUUUCCCUGCUGCAGCCUGUGCCACAGAUUAGGAAAACACAUUGAAGCAAUGCUGAAGGGGCAAUAGGAGUGGAAGGAGGUUAUCGAGUAUGAAACAGUACCCUUGAUACAGUGGGGAGAGGAGUGUUUCUCCACUUGGAAUUAUAAUCACAACCUUAAACACAAGUUUCGACCGCCAACUGACUGCUGCCUCCCUCUCUCACCAAGGGCUGGAGGCCACUGCAGAGCAAGACAAGGUGGGUCUGGCACAAGAUCCAUCCUAAAUCCAGCGAGAACAAAGAAGGCUCAGCAUCCUCCCCUGUGGCUGAUCCUGCUAUAAUGCUCCCUGGCAAGCUCAAUGCUUUGUGUCAUUCUGGAGCUCGGGGAAAGGUGAAAAAUACCAUGCAUCCAUGUUAGCUAUUAAAGCACGAGGAGUCCCUGAGUGUAUUUACAGGGGGGAGUUGGCGAGGGAAAGGCAAUUCCAUUAAACAAAGGGCAGGACACAGAGGAAGUUUGGAAGGAGGGUCGAUGGCUGAAAUGCUUCAUCCAAAUACAAUUCCGUCUCCCACCUGGAGGCUGCAGAAAAGCUGUGUCCAGCAAGAGAUUUACAACCCCAAGCAUUGCCUCCACUGGGUAAUAAACUGUGCUCUCUAAUCAAUAUCAGCGCUGGGCUGUCUGUCUGCAGCAUAGAUUCCCAUUUAGCAAAGCCACUGAGUAAUGGAAAACGCAAUCGAGUUGCAUAAUGAGUCUGGGUAAUUGGAUGGACUGGGCAGAAUGGUCCAGCUAAGUAUAUUCAGUCCGGCACAUUAAUUAAAAACUUGACACUUCAAGCGCCACCCAAAGUGCCCCAUUAAUUAUUCUGUGAAUCCAAAGGUCAGAUGUAGUGGAUGAGUUACAAGACGAUGAUAAAAUUGCUUGGCUCCGGGGCCAUCACAAGAGCAUGCAUUGCACCGAGGCCUGGACUCACCUGUAGCUUCAGUGGGAGUUGAACAGGCAGCCCUCUUCGCACUGGUGCCCUGCCAGUGCCGGAUCCAAGAGGAAGGACUGAGGCUGCCCAAGGUGCUGACACCAGCGCGGCCCUGCUUGUGAGUGAGCUCGCCCAUCUCCGCUUUCAUCUCAGAGAUCUGCAGGCACAGACAGGUAAAGGAAUUUGCCCACAGUCAGAAAUCAGCAGAUGAGAAUUCAAACCCAGACCGUGAAGAAUCAGAGCCACAGCAAGGUUAUUACAUGCAAGGAGAAACAAAUUUUGUGCUUAAAGUAAAAAGCAGAGUGGCAUUUCUUCUGUAAUGUAAGCAGCUGUGUGACUUUGGGCAAGUUGCUUCACCUCUGUAGGCCUCUGUUUGCCUGUCUGUAAUAAACAGAUCCCCCAUCUCUGGGACUUCAAAAGAGGAGAGGACGGUCAGCAGGGGUGGCCUGCUCAGAAGGGCCAUACUUCAUCCCCAAUGUCCCUCAACAACUCCAAGGGCAAUGCCACCCCAGACCUCACUGCCAGGCCUUCCAGAGUCCAACAAACUCGUGUCCCAUGACCACAGCUUGUUCCCUUGAUCUAUGUGCACCUGGGGAUGCUGGUGGCUGGGAGGUGAGUUCAUGAGGCCUCAGAUCCGCCCUUGAAGUCAGUACUGUCAUUCACCCAUUCUUCAGACGAGGACACAGAGGCCUGGGAAGAGUCAGCAAGGACAGAAGCUGGGUUCACAGCCCCUCAGGCCAGCUCCAGAGGCCUCAAUCUUCACCAGCAAUGUGCCUCUGGGCUUGAGAAGAUUGGACAGGAAGAACACAGGAAGCUCCAAGAAAAAAGAACUGAAACUGCACCAAGAGUCAAUGAUCUGCUGCCUCCUCAGACGUGCAGCAAUCUGACAACAUCCAUCAAAAUUAAAAGCGCGUGCACCCUUGACUUCACAAUGGCCUUCUAGGAAUUUACCCUCCCAACGCACUAGUGCACGUGUCUAAGAUACAAGGUUCUGCCGUAGCAGAACUGCUUACGGCAAUGAGUUUAUGGCCGCCCACACCCCCAGCCUCAAGUGAGGAGGCUCCAACUCCACAGCAGGUUGGCAGGGGCUGAGCUGUGCCCCUCCACUCAAUGGAAAUAUUUCCUGGACCAAAACGGAACUGCACCAGGGACCAAGACAGACAGGACCUCCUCCACCCCGUGGAAGGUAACAUGGAGAGAGGUCCCAGUGGAUCCACCAGAGAAAAGGAAUGUCCAUCUUAUCUUUCACCUAGAGUGGGAUCCAGUGCAAACCAGCACACACAGGAGGAUCCACUGUAGUUGCUGGAAUGUAAGAUGGACAUACCGUGUGUGUAUGUAUGGGAAACUUCUGGAAAAUGCAAUGUUGGGAUGAAGGAGGUAGGAGGCUUUUUCUUCCUAUUCUUAUGUCCUUCAGUCAUGGUUCAUUUGGUUUUGCACUCUCAUGAGCAUAUAUUAUUUUAUACUUAAAAAAAAGGGAUUGCAUUUCAAAACUUCCAUGACCAGCUCUGAAGUCAGUGGAUCAGAGGGAAUUCCCUGCUCACUCCUGGAACAGACCCCCUGCCCGACCUCCCUGGGCUCUGAGGGAACCACACCAGGACCAAGUUCAGAAGCUGACAGAUGCCAGUCAGUGAGCCCCAAGUCCGUGCUCUGAGCCUAGCUAGCACUCAAGCUUAGGACAGCAUAACUAUUUAUUUAACUGAUGGCUGCUGUCUUCAUUCAAAUGAUGCUUGCCGUGUUAGAAAUGAAUGCCCAUUGACUCUGUCACUGUGACAAAGUGCACCUGUGUUUAUCCCUCUGCUGCCAAGUCUGCAUGUUCAAUAUUUUGUCCAUCAAUUUUUAACUUUUUUAAAAAAUGGGACUUUGGUGAGGGAAUGAAGAGGCCAUCACUUUCCCAGGCAGAUAGCCUUUCUGCCUCCAUCCUCUCCUGGGGUUCUGCUUGAAGCCUGGUAGAGUCACAUCCCCAUGGGCCUUGACACUCAGAGGCCAUGCUCUCCCAAAGCUCUGGCUUUCUAACAGCCAGGGGACACUCCUGCUUGGGCUGAGACUUGUGCAGCUCUAGUAGGAAUGUCCCUCUGUGCUUAGAAAACACCCAAAGCUUGCCACGGCAUCCAGGCUGCCUACUGCACCCCUCACUCAGCCUUCUUGGGCCACCAGGUGCCCAUUCCAUGCCAAGCUUUGUCUCCUCAACAAAGUUGCUCUGCUUGAGCCAGUGAAUUCUGUCUCCAGGAGGCUGUGUCAUGGCUUUGUCUUCUACAAGCUCAUGCCCUGGAGGGAAGGACAGAGUGACUCUGACAUGUCAGCCCAUUCAGUCAUUCAUUCCUCAACUCUAAUAAAUUUCCUGCUGAGUGUCAGGUACUGGACUGGAUUUGGGGAAUCUGGUGAUGAACACAUCAGAUGGGGCCGGGCGCAGUGGCUCACACCUGUAAUCCCAGCACUUUGGGAGGCCGAGGCAGGAAGAUCACUUGAAGCCAGAGUUCAGGACCAGCCUGGCCAACAUGCUGAAACCCCGUCUCCACUAAACAUAAAAAAAUUAGCCAAGUGUGGUGGCGCAUGCCUGUAAUCCCAGCUACUCGGGAGGCUGAGGCAGGAGAACCGCUUGAACCCAGGAGGCAGAGGUGGCAGUGAGCCGAGAUCACACCACUGCACUCCAGCCUGGGCCUGUCUCCAAAAAAAAAAAAACAGAAAAAAAACACCACACACACACACUCUCCCCACAGGGCUCAGCUCAGUGAAGGAGCAGUGGGAAGGAGAAGGGUUUCCCUAGUGCAACCAGAGCUCCUGGUGAACACCCUUGCCCUGCCUCCCGCCCCACCUCCACUGCAGUGCCAGAAGCAAAAUGGUGCCCAGCACAGGCAAACAGCCAGGGCCAGAUGGAAGAGAGGGCUGCCAAGGAGCUGCAGACGUUGAGCAGCUUCCUGGGGCUGCAGUAUAGGAUCCCGGGCUGCACUGACACCACUGCAGGUGGUGUUUCCUGUCCUGUUUCCAGCACUGCCACACUGCCAGUGCUUACUGGCACUCCCUUGGGGACACGUUCCUUGACUCCAGUUCUCCAGGACCUUGUUUGCCCUUAACUUCUCAGGGCCUCUACUUCCUUAUUUGAAUACUGGGAUGGAAACAGCUGCCAUUUUGAGUGUCACUGCAUGCCUGGCUGUCUGCUAAGCCCUCUCUGUGCCUUGCCCCUGUGGGGCACCCCAGCAACCUGCAUGAUGGGCUACGCCUUUGCCCCCACAACACAAUGAAGAAACGAUAUCCUGAUCCCUCCACCAGGAUGGGAUGAGGACUGACUGAGAUGGUGUGUGAGAAAGCCUGGGCUUGCCUUGGGAAGGCCCAGUGACAGCUUCCUUCCUUCCUUCUGAAGGAUCUGCUGGAGGGCACAUGCCCGCCCACAUCUGGUUAGCGUGAAAUACACCAUCGAUGACCUGACCCUGCAGCUCCCACCACGUCUGGGAUGUGGCCUUGGAGGAGUGCCCAGAGGGCUCCCCUCUAGAAUUCUAGCACUGUGCCAUAAGUAACCCCAGAUGCAGGUCCCCUGGAUCUUCACAGAGCAACUCCAAGCCCACCCCCAGGACACCACGUGGCAGCCACAGGGGCCAACCUCCACCCUCUGGAGGAAACCCCCUGGUAUUUCUUCAUGGCCUUUAGUUCCUUAGAAUGUGAGCCCUGGUUCCUAUGAGCAGGAGGAAACGGAGAGAGAAGAGACAGGACAGGACAGAGGGGAGAGAGAGGAGAGAGGGGAGAGAGAGA